rnacentral:lncRNA from 1 species
GGCGCUGACGGAGGGGGGGUAGCGCACCCCGACUCCCCUGAUCACAUGGGCUGCGGGGGGGGGGGCCAGGAAGAUCGGGAGAGGGGGAGGUGCGCAGAGCCGCCCGCCGCUCCUCACCCGGGCCGGGAGAAGUCGCCCCCCGCACCCCCCCACGAGUCCGUCCUCUCCAUUCAAGUUCGCCGGGCCUUGCCGCCGGGAUCGGGGAUGGCCCCCAGCUGCCCGCCCAGCUCUGCGUCCUGUUUCCAGCCACCGCGCAGAAAUUUAGGUCAAGGACGUCGGGAGCAAACCCACACCCUGGAGCUCUUCGGGAGGCCCCCGAGACCCCCCCACCCCAGGAUCGGGAUGGAGGGGGGGCUUCAGGAUGGCGGAGAACCCCCAGCACAAACAUCAGCCACAAGUUUUAUUUUGCCUUCGCGCUGCAAGUUCGGCGCUCGCUCCACACCGGCACGUCCUGCGCGGCUCCCCGCCCUUCCCCGCAGAGUGAGAAGGAGUUUUGUAGCGGCUCCAGGAUGGCUGGGAAGAGUGGUUAUUUCAGGAACGCCCUCUCCGAGCGGAUUUUUUGUAUCCAUGUUGGUGAGUCAAACUGGCUGCAAUUUACCCUUUCAUGGUACCUUCAUUUGGUUCCACAGGCCUCCUAAAGUGAACUGCCAUGAAACUUACUACUAUUCAACCAGAGAACUAAAGGAGAAACAAUGAUUUACAUCUACCUAUGUGCUGUUCCCAUCUCAUUCCCCUAACUGAAGUAACCACUAAUUGAGCCUUGUAUUUAUUUAUUUGUUUAUUUAUUUUUGGUACCAGGGAUUGAACUCAGGUCCUUGAGCUUGCAAGGCAGGCCACAGAACCACUGAGCUAAAUCCCCAGCCUGAGCCUUGUAUUUAUUAUUCUUUUGCUUUGGAAAAUUUUUUAUCACACAUAUCAAUGACUAAAUAAUAUAAUGUCUUGUUUUACUCAUUUUAAAACUGAAAAUUUUAUGAGGGAGAUCAUUUUGCUGAAAACAGAAUUACUAAUCUAAAUUGUUGCAUCUGGU